rnacentral:lncRNA from 1 species
UUUUUUUUUUUUUUUUUUUUUUUUUUUUUAAAGGGCCUCACCUGUGGCCUAUGGAGAUUCCCAGGGUAGGGGUCAAAUCAGAACUGCAGCUGUCAGCCUACACCACAGCCACAGCAACACUGGAUCUGAGCCGCACAUGUGACCUAUACCACAGCUCACAGCAACAGCAGAUCCUUAACCCACUGAGCAAAGCCAGGGAUGGAACCUGCAUCCUCAUGGAUACUAGUCAGAUUUGUUUCCCCUGAGCCAUGACGGGAACUCCUCACAUCUUAUUUCUUUUACCCCCCCCCAAAAAAAAACAGUCUACGCAAAAAAAAUAUAGAAAAGGCGUUAACAGUUUCAUAGUUUUUUUUCUACAGUAGAAAGGUCUCAAAGAAGUGUUCGAGGAUUCUGGUUAGGACAAAAUCAUCUGACCCAUCUCCUUGCUCCACUCCUCCCACUUAAAUAAAACUCUAAACCCUGAAAAGAACAGAAGAGAAAGCCAAAGAGUUCCAAAAGAUAGAAAGUGAACUGAUUUUGUUAGGGACAUACCUGAGACCUGGAGAAACAACACACCUGGAAGAAGGCAGCCCAGGCCUGGCAUUCCCCAAUCUCCAGUCCAGCCACAGCAGCCAGCACAGGUCCUGCAGGCUCAUUUGUCCCCUCCGUCCUAUGAGAGUUCUGCUGACAAUACCAAGCAAGUUUGGCAGAACUAGCAUGGUAGCAUCUAUCAGAAUCCCCAGUUUAUCAUAAAUGAACAAGUCAGUGAAGGGGGAGUUUCUGGAAGAGUAUUAUUUGGAAUGCUCUGUCAGACAAUUCAUAGACGUCAGUUUCUUUAGGGUCAGUCACUGGAGUUUUAUUAGUUUCUUUUAGUGGCGUCUUCCUUCACCAGUCAUUCCUUUGGAGAUUCUGAGGGUGUCCAUGGGCUGACUUGCUGCUACAGGCCUUGGGCAGGUAGGCCUGUUGCCUGGGUCAGCAGGUGGGCUGGUCUGAUUUUUGGUACCUGGGGACCAGCCUGGUGCCUGAAUCCAUAGGGACAGACCUGGAGCUUGCGUUCACCGGGGUGGGCCUGGCACAGGAGUCUUUUGUGAUGGGCCUUGGACCUUUACUCUGGCUCCACAGAGACCAAUCAGGCGCCAGGGACCAGUGGAGUUGGCCUGGCCUCUUGAGUCCACCUUGGUGCACAGGAGCCGUGGGAACCCAAAAAUACGGCGGAGGACCCGGGCCUAGGUCCUCAGAAUGCACGAGAGUCCUGUGUGGAAGAAGCGGCCAGGCACCUCACGCAGGAAUAUCUGGCCCUACUGGAGCCAAGGCCGUCCGAGUGAGCCGAAGACCUGUGUUCACUCUGCUCUCUGAGAGGCUGGGAAUGAGAAAACCUCUCGGAGCCCCGGGAGCCACCUGGGGCUGCAAGAACUGGCAGGUGCCCAGGUGAGCUGAGCCUCAGUUCAGGAACUCGCGAGAGCUUGGUGCCGCGCAAGCGGCCUGAGGCGGCUGGAGCCCGCAGGUCUUGGGAGAGCCCCGGGGUUUGCUCAGCGGCGGAACUCAUAUGGGAGCAGCUGGAGGCUGUGGAACCCUCUGGGGGCCCCUGGAGCCAGCGGACACUGAGGUGAGCCGGGGCCUGGGUUCGCGGGAGCCCACCAGCGCCUGGUGUCAAGGACGCUGCCUUCGCGCCUUGUUGCCCUCCCUCUGAGAAGGGCCUGGAAUCCCCGCAGUUUUCCAGAACCUGGUGUGGAUGUCGACGGGGUCCGAGGUAGUCAGUUGGGGCCUCUGGGGCCGGCGGGCGCCUGGGAGGGCUGUGGGCCUGGGCUCUGGGGAGCCAGCAGGAGCCUGGAGCCGUGGAAACCACCUGGGGCGUUGGAACCCUUACAGAGCUGAGGGAGCCCGAACGGGUGACCAGAACGCUGCCUGAGGCCAGUGGACAGGCAUGGAGUCAGGCUGGGGCCUGAGUUCCUGAGGGCCCACAGGGAGCCACCUGGGGCCACAGAGUUUGUCCUGGCUCUAGGGUCCGUGGUGGCUGUCGUGCGCCCACUGUGCCCUCCUUCCUCGGCGAGCUCGUCUGCGCAGCCAGGGCUGGGGGGAGGGGCGAUGGACCGUGCACCCUUCUUUUCGACCUUCCUCAGUGUGGCCUUUCUUAUUUCUGUUCUUCCGCAGGGGCAGAACUACCUCACCCAGAAGCCUUGGCUCCUCUGAAGGGCCACAACCGCAACAUAUAGAAGGUUCCAGGCUAGGGGUCAAAUCAGAGCUGCAGCUGCCAGUCUACACCACAGCCACAAUAAUGCCAGAUCUGAGUUGCAGCUGCAAUCUACACCACAGCUCACUGCAACACCAGAUCUUUUAACUCACUGAGCAAAGCCAGGGAUUGAGCCCACAUCCUCAUGGAUGCUAGUCAGGCAGGCUCUUAACUCCUUUGGCCAUGAUGGGAACUCAUACUUUUUCAAGUAAUAAUGAAAUAUAUAUGCAUGUAAUUUUGUAGAUCACUGGUUCUUCAGAGAGAAUCAAAAUUAAAAGUAAUUAUUGUACAAUUUAAAGUUGCAUAAAAUUAACCAAAGUUGUCUUGUCACAUGUAGCUUUCAAAAAGACUGAAUCAUAGACUACCACACACUAGGAAACUUAGUGGUCUUUCUCAAAUAUUUUUAAGCUGAAUUAUGUUUCAUGUCACUUACACUACUACUUACAUAUCUUUGUCUAAAUCCAUUGCUCUCUUAAUAUUCUCCACAUGGAAAAUGAAGCAACCCUAUUUGCAUUUUAAAAGAUUGCGACACAGUAAAUCAUGCCCAGUGACAAAACUGAGUUAUUAUUUUAAUAUGGUCAUGAUGUAACCUGUCCCAGCUUUAUUCCGAUAUACCCAGUAUUCUAACCUUGACCUCUCUGAAUUUAACAUCGUGUUCUAUUAAAGAAUGCGUAUAAUUUUCAAAAUGGAUGAAAGAUAGAUUUUAGUGAUGUUUCACUUUCUAGGAUUUUGCAAUUUUUAACCCUUAUUUAAAUAUUCCCCUUCUUAAAAAUUAGCUAUCUAGUAUUUUAACAACUGGAGUCAGAAAGUAAAUUAGUGGUCACACAGGGCUGGAGGGGAAAUUGGGGAGAAAAGCACUGAAGGAUACAGUGUUUUUUGGGGGGAUGAAAGUGUUCUGAAUUGAUAUUGAUGGUAGUUGCAUCAUUCUGUGGAUAAAUUAAAAAUAUUGUAUUGAACAAUUUAAAUGUUUGAAUUGUACAAUAUGUAAAUUAUAUCUCAAUAGAGCUGUUAAAAUUUAGCCUACAAAAGUAGAAAAAUUAUACAUUCUCCUAUUAGUAAUAUAGUGAAAGAAACAAUUUUAUGAGCAUACUUUGAAAAUUCUGAAGAUUGAUUAUAUUCUCAUGGGUUUUGGGUUACAUUUCCACUCAUUUAUCAGUAUGUCAAGUUUAAAGGAUUUUUUUUCAAAUUGGCAAUUUUUUUGACAAAAUUCUGUCCUCUUUUUUAAGACCUAAGGGGAAAAUACCAUUUUUUUUUUGAAAUAACUAUUUUAACUAAUGUCUCAUGCAGAAUGUUUACU